rnacentral:tmRNA from 1 species
GGGGGUGACCGGAUUUGACGGCAAGCUGAGAUGGUGCGUAAGCAUGUGGAGUGAAGACUGUGUUCUCUUUAAUCAAGUCGGUCAAAAAAUUAAUUGGCAACAAUGAGUAUGCUCUCGCUGCCUAAUCGAAGUAUAGUAGAUUAACGGCUUAAUUCUCUUACUAGGUAGGAGAACGAGACAUCGCUCCGAGGGUGUGGUUCCGAAUCUGAGGAUCAAGCGGUGCAGUAAAAUCGGAAAUAGUCUUGCUAGGCCUCGGUGGCAGGAUGAAAUUUUGAGGAUAAGGAUGUAGUUGGUGGUCCAGGUCUUGCUGCAUCACGAAAAUAAAGUCUGGAAUAAGCAUGUAGAAAGCGCAUGGUUUCCUUGUUCGGACGAGGGUUCGACUCCCUCCACUUCCACU